rnacentral:tRNA from 1 species
UGGGAGAUCGUCUAACGGUAGGACAUCAGACUCUGGAUCUGAUAGUGAAGGUUCAAAUCCUUCUCUCCCAGCUA